GGUGGGAAAAGAGGGAGAAAUCUGAAUUUGGGACGGAGAUGAAGAGGGAGAGGGAAGAGCUCCCAGGGCAGAGCCAGGCUUGGGGUGGGCACCUGGGGGGGUCUCACUGGUCUCUGUCCCUCAGGCCGGUAUGGCCAGGUUCCAAGCCAUUGAAAGACUCCCCCCAUUUUAAUACAAUAAAUAAAAGCUGAGUGUCACUUUCAAAGGCUCUAAACCAGACUGGCCUUUUGCUGUGUGAGGUCAAAGUAUGUUUUCUCUCUGGAAGGUGCCAACCUCAGGGUAGAGGGAAGCAAUGGCAGGAUGGGCUCUGGGAUGAUGAGUAGGGGAGCAGAAGCAGCGAGUAUGAAGAACCAAGGGGAAAAAUGAAGGGAUAGCAAAGGGAUGGACACACCACUGCUCCCUGGAUUAUGAUGACUAGGACCUAGUCCACACCUGAAACUUUGGUCAGUUAAGGAUCGGGGGUAGCCGUGUUAGUCUGUAUCCACAAAAACAACAAGGAAUCUGGUGGCACCUUAAAGACUACCUUGCUCAGGGGCAAGUUAAGCCCAUUGACCUACCUACUGCCUCGCAAGGAAGUGGAUUUACUACAGCUAUGGAAAAAUCCCUUCUUCAUUGUUGCAAGCAUCUGCACGACAACUUUGUCACUCUAAUACGUGUAGUGUGGACAUACACUAGCAUACUUGGCUAACAAUGGGUAUUAAGCUCUAUUGACCACAUCCACGGUCCACACCUAUGGGACAAACAUUUUCAAUCCAAGUUGAGGGAGGCUAAUAUGUCUGCUUAAUUCCUUUUGUCAAUCAGGUUUCAUUAUUCUAGGACUGGUCUAUGCUUAAAAGUUAGGUCAACAUAGCUUCAUCGGGCAGGGUGUAAAAUCCACAUCCCUGACCGACGUAGCUAUGCCAACCUAACCCCCGGCGUAGACACAACUGUGUCGAUCGAAGAAUGCUUCCAUCAAGGUAGCUUCCAUUGUUCAAGGAGGUGGGGUUCCUAUGCUAACGGGUCAAAACAAACUUUUCCAUCUGUAGGCUGCAUCUACAUUAUGGGUUAUGCCGGGCACAGCUACGGUGAUGUAGCUAUUCCUGUAUAGUCUCAGUAGUGUAGACAUACCCUCGUGUAGAUAAAGUCUGGGGCAACUAGAUCUCUGUAAGAUUUCCAGGGUCAGCCUGGGACUAGCAUUUCCUGCCUGCCAUAUUACACAGAGAGCAGCAUUCCUUCUACUGGGAGAGGCUGGAAGCUUUUAGAAGAGAAUAUGGAAAUUCCUAUAAUUGUAGUUAGCAUGAAUGCAGAGCAGUUACAGGUUGGGUUUUAGAUAUGACCUGUUUCUUAAUAAAUUGUUGGUUUCUGGCAGCUAAUGUGUGGAUGAUGGCUUUGUUUUGAAGUCCCUUCCCACCACUCCUGACCCCCCAAAAAGUUCUGCCAGCCACAGCUGUCUUUCUUUUAAUGCCAUGGUCUUGUUAGCAGGCAGCUUUAUGGUGUUUACAUAUGGCUUUAAUUGUAUCAGCAGUUAAUUCCAUUUGUGGCUAUUCCCAUGUUAACAGAGCCCCUUGUUUAAUGAAUUUAUCUCCUGCUGCAGCAGGCAUGUCUUUGCUAAGGAGACAGUUGUACCCAUGUUCCAAAUCAAACUUAAAUAACUUGUACAUGGCUGUGCAAGAGUCUCAGGGCAUCACUGAACUGAAUCACUUGAGCUAGUUUCCGCUGUGCCCAUGCUUGUGCUCGCAAAGCAUAUAUUUAACAGUCCCAAGGGCACCUCCAUUUGACUCAGGACUAACAUUUGCUUAAUAAAAAGGUUAAUCGGUGGAAAGAAAACAUAUUUAGAGGCAUGGGUGUGUGGGACUUUGCUUCUUGGGAGAUAAACAUUAUUUUCUUUUUAUAGAAAAAUAUUCUUCUGUGACCGCAUUGUAUGUUUCCAUUCCCACAGUGUUGAUUUGAAAAAUCCUGCAAUGUUUCUAGUAGCCUGUAUAUUAAUUCUAAACACACAUACAGAUAAGGGCCAGUGCAAAUAAAAACAAAGGCAGGAAAAUUCUGAGUUACGGGGAUACAUUAUUAUUAUUCAUUCCAGUGGAAUAUUUUCUUAAACAACGUCCCUGCAAUGUUUGUAGCCUAAAUUUUGAAGCUUUGUCCUCGUGCCGGAAUCUGAUUGUAAAGUUGACUAUAAGACAAAAGUGAAACUAGUUUAGUCUCUCAGUGCAUGCGAAGAGAAACAAAAAAACAAAACAAAAAUAGUGCAAAGUGGAAAGAAUUUAAAUGUAAUUAAAACAAAUCAUAUAUAUAUAUAUAUUUCUAACUUGACCCUCACUUAAGGCUUUCUCUAAUUUUAACCCCUUGUGCUCAAUGACAUGCCUGAACUAUGAUGCACAAGAGCAUCUGUUAGCUGGAAACCUCUGCUACGUGUUGCCUUCAUGCAAGUUAAGGAUGCAAUUACAGCAAUCACUGAAUUGUUUUACUUCAAUGAGACCCACAGUAUCAUUCUCAAACAGGUGUUUUUGUGAUUUAUAUAUUUUUUUUAUUAAAAUGACAUUGUUUAGGUCAGCUUGCUAAAUAUCUGACCCACUUCAAAAUUAAUAGCAGUCGGUUCCUAAUUGGUUCUAUUUUGUUUUUUAAAAGGUGGUCAGCAACCUUUUAUCUAAAUUGGGAUUCCUCCCCCUCCAAUCACCUGGCAUCUUCACCUAGCCUUAUCCCUCCACAGCAAAGCCUUCCAGUAUAUUCCUAAAGAGAAUACAUAUAGAUAACAGGUCUUACACUAUGGAUUUAGCAUUCUUAAAUAUUGCUUUUCACUACUUUGAGGAACAUUUCUGGCCUACUUGGCAAUGUCCUGGCUAUUGAGCAAUGCCUUCUGUGUCCACAGCUUCUAUGUAUGCUAAGGAUAAGGACAAAUCUUCUAUUUCAGUGCUAGCAGUAGGAGCUGCUGGAUAACACAGCUUAGUCUCUGGGGACUGAAAUGCUUUAGUCUAACCCAAGUUAUUGGGCUAUAGGGUAAGUAGGAAGUGUAAUGGCUUGUGAGAUACAGGUCAGACUAGGUGACCCAGUGGUCUCUUCUGGCCUUAAACACUGUGAAGCCGUAAUUCUCCAGGAGUUCUGAGUAUUACAUCCAUAACACUGCCAAUCCUGGGAGUAAAGGAUCAGAUCCUCACUUGGUAAAUAACUGUAAUUCCUCUACACCACUGAAUCAAUCCCUGAAAAUGGGGGCUCCAAAGAAUAACAAACAGGGCCCUGGUUGAAACCUACUAAUAAACUAAUGCACGCUUUCUCUCUCUACCAGCACAAAGCACUUUCCUCCACAGCAGUGGUCUGCUCCCUUCCUUUGAGCAAAUGGUCUACUGAAGUAUACAAAAUCCUUCUGUCUCAAAUGCUCCCACAGUUGAAGCAGGCAAGCUCAGCAGGGAAGCGAGAGAGUGCUAUGUGCAGGCAGCCGUGAUUCAGAGCAUAAUGGGUAUGUUACUUUUCUGUACAGCUUUGCUCUCUCUUCAUGUUGGGGACCAAAAAAAAAUAGGGAUUUUUUUGCUCCCCUUUCUUUUAAUGGCCAGGCCUUGCACUAGUAAAGGUAUGGAAACCAAGUCCACUGAAUAAUGAUUUAAUGUUGUGAACUCUGUUGUGUUCUUUUUGAGUGGAUGCCUGCUUUAGUGAGAGAACUGCUGUGAUGCUUUAAUUCAGUAUGGAGGACUAAUGUGAGGAUGCUGAAGGAUACAGAAAACCCUGGAUAAGGGAGGUUGGCAAUAAUGGUAGUAUUAGAUUGAAGCAAAAUGUAAGAGCAAGAUGGAUGCUGCAAGAUUAUUAAAUCUAGAAAGUGAAACAUUUUAAAGCUAAACUCCAGAACUAAUAAUGAGCAAUUGAAUUCAAGUAGUUUUUACAAAUGAAUGGAAAUGUCUAAUUAUUAACCUCUUCAGUGCUGGUGCCCACUGGGAUUUUGGUACAUCAAAGGUGUAUUUUGUUUUGGGCGAGGGGGAUGCAACACUGAAGAGGUUAAUACAAUAUACUGGAUUAAAUCUUAGCUGUGAAUGAUUGCAUGUUUAAAAAAUGCACACAAAAAAACAGUAGAAACUGACAAAUCUCUUUCACUCUAAUUUAUCUGUCUGACAAAUGGACGGGAUGUUGGAAAUUUAUCAUUUUGGUUGAUUAACAUCCAGGAAGUUAAAUCAGUACAACCACAUUCAUUUCACUCACGUCUGAGGUCACAUCUGAAUCCCGGUCUCCAGAGGAUCAAAGCACUUGGAAUAAAUGCAGACAGGGGGAAGAGAAGAGGAAUGGUUGUCCCCAGCUAGAGUACAUGCUUCAGCUGGCAAAACGGAAUUGGCUGUAAAUUCGUUUCUUAGUUCUGCAUCUUUUGCAGUGGUGUUUUGCUUUUUGCCACCGUUGUGCUCAGCUCCAAAGGAGAUGAAAUGGAGUAAUUAAAGAUGAUGAUGAAAUAGUUUAGCUUCUGCUUUUCACCUGGAGAUGGAACAUGUCUGAUAAUAAGUAUGUUUGAUUUUUAAAGAUUGUGUAAUAAAGGGGAAAUUGAUCCAAUUAAAAGUG